UACAGAGGUCCCAAGCGUUGUUCGGAUUCAUUGGGCGUACAGGGUGCGUAGGUGGCGCCGUAAGUCAGGUGUGAAAUCUCGGGGCUUAACUCCGAAACUGCAUUUGAUACUGCGGUGCUUGAGGACUGGAGAGGAGACUGGAAUUUACGGUGUAGCAGUGAAAUGCGUAGAUAUCGUAAGGAAGACCAGUGGCGAAGGCGAGUCUCUGGACAGCAACUGACGCUGAGGCACGAAGGCCAGGGGAGCAAACGGG
rnacentral:rRNA from 1 species